UACGUAGGGUGCGAGCGUUAAUCGGAAUUACUGGGCGUAAAGCGUGCGCAGGCGGUUAUUUAAGUCAGGUGUGAAAGCCCUGGGCUUAACCUAGGAAUGGCGGUGGAUACUGACAAGCUAGAGUGCGGUAGAGGAGGGUGGAAUUCCCGGUGUAGCGGUGAAAUGCGUAGAGAUCGGGAGGAACAUCAGUGGCGAAGGCGGCCCUCUGGACCAGCACUGACGCUGAGGCACGAAAGCGUGGGGAGCAAACAGG
rnacentral:rRNA from 1 species